rnacentral:rRNA from 1 species
AUGAACGCUGGCGGCGUGCCUAAUACAUGCAAGUCGAGCGAACAGACGAGGAGCUUGCUCCUCUGACGUUAGCGGCGGACGGGUGAGUAACACGUGGAUAACCUACCUAUAAGACUGGGAUAACUUCGGGAAACCGGAGCUAAUACCGGAUAAUAUCUUGAACCGCAUGGUUCAAUAGUGAAAGACGGUUUUGCUGUCACUUAUAGAUGGAUCCGCGCCGCAUUAGCUAGUUGGUAAGGUAACGGCUUACCAAGGCAACGAUGCGUAGCCGACCUGAGAGGGUGAUAGGCCACACUGGAACUGAGACACGGUCCAGACUCCUACGGGAGGCAGCAGUAGGGAAUCUUCCGCAAUGGGCGAAAGCCUGACGGAGCAACGCCGCGUGAGUGAUGAAGGUCUUCGGAUCGUAAAACUCUGUUAUUAGGGAAGAACAAAUGUGUAAGUAACUAUGCACGUCUUGACGGUACCUAAUCAGAAAGCCACGGCUAACUACGUG